UACGUAGGGGGCAAGCGUUGUCCGGAUUCAUUGGGCGUAAAGAGCGUGUAGGCGGCCAGGUAGGUCGGUUGUGAAAACUGGAGGCUCAACCUUCAGAGGUCGACCGAAACCAUCUGGCUAGAGUCCGGGAGAGGAGAGUGGAAUUCCUGGUGUAGCGGUGAAAUGCGCAGAUAUCAGGAGGAACACCUGUGGUGUAGACAGCUUACUGGACCAGAACUGACGAUCAGGCACGAAAGCGUGGGGAGCAAACAGG
rnacentral:rRNA from 1 species